UACGAAGGGGGCUAGCGUUGCUCGGAAUCGACUGGGCGUAAAGGGUGCGUAGGCGGGUCUUUAAGUUCAGGGGUGAAAUCCGUGGAGCCUCAACUCCAGUAACUGCCUUUGAUACUGAGGAUCUUGAGUUCGGGGAGAGGUGAGUGGAACUGCGAGUGUAGAGGUGAAAAUUCGUAGAUAUUCGCAAGAACACCAGUGGCGAAGGCGGCUCACUGGCCCGUUACUGACGCUGAGGCACGAAAACGUGGGGAGCAAACAGG
rnacentral:rRNA from 1 species